rnacentral:rRNA from 1 species
CCCUUAGAUGUCCUGGGCCGCACGCGCGUUACACUGAUGCAUUCAACGAGCCUAUAACCUUGGCCGAGAGGCCUGGGCAAUCUUGUUAACGUGCAUCGUGAUAGGGAUAGAUUAUUGAAAUUAUUAAUCUUGAACGAGGAAUUCCUAGUAAACGCAGAUCAUCAAUCUGCAUUGAUUACGUCCCUGCCCUUUGUACACACCGCCCGUCGCACCUACCGAUUGAAUGUUUCGGUGAAGAUUCCGGAUAGGACUUUUUUGAUUUAUUUCAAUUUUGUCUUAAAAGCUAUCUAAACCUCAACAUUUAGAGGAAGGUGAAGUCGUAACA